UACGUAGGGCGCAAGCGUUAUCCGGAAUUAUUGGGCGUAAAGAGCUCGUAGGCGGUUUGUCGCGUCUGCCGUGAAAGUCCGGGGCUCAACUCCGGAUCUGCGGUGGGUACGGGCAGACUAGAGUGCGGUAGGGGAGAUUGGAAUUCCUGGUGUAGCGGUGGAAUGCGCAGAUAUCAGGAAGAACACCCGUGGCUAAGGCGGCUCUCUAGUACGGUACUGACGCUGAGACGCGAAAGCGUGGGGAGCGAACAGG
rnacentral:rRNA from 1 species